rnacentral:rRNA from 1 species
CCUAGCUUUCCCAAAUACCUUGAAGGUACCAGAUCCCCUAUGAUCUUGGAAGCUAAGCAGGGUUUGGCUUGGUUAGUAUUUGCAAGGGAUACUGCCAGGAGAUACCAGGUGCUGUAAGGU